rnacentral:rRNA from 1 species
GACGAACGCUGGCGGCGUGCUUAAUACAUGCAAGUCGAACGAAGUGGCGAACGGGUGAGUAAUACGUGAGUAACCUGCUCUCCUUUUUGGGAUAAGCCUUGGAAACGUGGUCUAAUACCGAAUAAAGGGGGAUGGGCUCGCGGCCUAUCAGCUUGUUGGUGGGGUGAUGGCCUAGCAAGGCGGUGAAGGGUAGCCGGCCUGAGAGGGUGACCUGUGACAUUGUGACUGAGAUACGGCCCAGGCGCCGACGGGAGGCAGCAGUGGGGGCUAUUGCACAAUGGGCGAAAGCCUGAUGCAGCGGCGCGGAGUAGGGGAUGCAGGUUUUAGGGUUGUAAACCUCUUUCGCUACCGGACGGGUAGGUAGAGAGGAAGCGACGGCUAACUACGUGCCAGCAGCCGCGGUAAUAC